rnacentral:rRNA from 1 species
GAUGAACGCUAGCUACAGGCUUAACACAUGCAAGUCGAGGGGCAGCAUGGUCUUAGCUUGCUAAGGCCGAUGGCGACCGGCGCACGGGUGAGUAACACGUAUCCAACCUGCCGUCUACUCUUGGACAGCCUUCUGAAAGGAAGAUUAAUACAAGAUGGCAUCAUGAGUCCGCAUGUUCACAUGAUUAAAGGUAUUCCGGUAGACGAUGGGGAUGCGUUCCAUUAGAUAGUAGGCGGGGUAACGGCCCACCUAGUCUUCGAUGGAUAGGGGUUCUGAGAGGAAGGUCCCCACAUUGGAACUGAGACACGGUCCAAACUCCUACGGGAGGCAGCAGUUAGGAAUAUUGGUCAAUGGGCGCAGGCCUGAACCAGCCAAGUAGCGUGAAGGAUGACUGCCCUAUGGGUUGUAAACUUCUUUUAUAAAGGAAUAAAGUCGGGUAUGUAUACCCGUUUGCAUGUACUUUAUGAAUAAGGAUCGGCUAACUCCGU